rnacentral:rRNA from 1 species
AGUUUGAUCCUGGCUCAGGACGAACGCUGGCGGCGUGCCUAAUACAUGCAAGUCGAGCGGGGUUACUACGUUUGAAUCCUUCGGGAUGACGAUGUUUUAACCUAGCGGCGGACGGGUGAGUAACGCGUGGGUAACCUGCCCUAAAGUUCGGGGUAACACCGGGAAACCGGUGCUAAUACCGGAUAUCUUUUAGAGAAGGCAUCUUCUUUAAAAGAAAGAUUACGCUUUAGGAUGGGCCCGCGUCCCAUUAGCUAGUUGGUGAGGUAACGGCUCACCAAGGCUGCGAUGGGUAGCCGGCCUGAGAGGGUGAACGGCCACACUGGGACUGAGACACGGCCCAGACUCCUACGGGAGGCAGCAGUAGGGAAUAUUGCGCAAUGGGGGAAACCCUGACGCAUCGACGCCGCGUGAGUGAUGAAGGCCUUCGGGUCGUAAAACUCUGUCCUUAGGGAAGAAAUCAAUGACGGUACCUAAAGAGGAAGCCCCGGCUAACUACGUGCCAGCAGCCGCGGUAAUACGUAGGGCGCGAGCGUUGUCCGGAAUUACUGGGCGNAANGGGUGCGUNGNCGGCCUUUUAAGUCAGAUGUGAAAGCCCGCGGCUUAACUGCGGGAUUGCAUUUGAAAC